UAGCCGAGUGUAACCGGUACCGAGUGUAGCCGACAUUGGCCGCAUUUAGGCAAAGAGCCGAAUAUGACCGACUUUAGCCCAACCGGGCCGAAGUUCUGCCGAAGAGCCGGAAAAGCCGAAUUUAGACGAAAAGCCGAACCGAAACGAUUUUAGACCUAAGCCGAACCAAGCCUAAUUUAGCCGAGUUUAUUUAAACAGAACCGAACGACGCCGCAGCGCUCUGCCUGCAGAGCGCCGGUGCAGACGGCAGGGGGCGGUGUAUAAAGGUGCUCAGAAAGCAUGCGUCCCUUAGAGUCCCACGGAAAGGUUCUCAGUGCGCUCUCUAUCAAGUGCUAUGAGUCUUGAUAAAUUGGAGAAGAGCCCAAGAGAAAUUUUUCAUCCCUUGAUAUAAAAGGGAUCGGUGAAUUUUAACUUUGGUGUCCUCUGUGCUAAGGAUGCUCAGCUUACCGAUGAUGAAAUGUUCAGUAAUG